rnacentral:rRNA from 1 species
CCUACGGGAGGCAGCAGUGGGGAAUAUUGGGCAAUGGGCGCAAGCCUGACCCAGCAAUGCCGCGUGAAGGAAGAAGGCUUUCGGGUUGUAAACUUCUUUUACCGGGGAAGAGCAGAAGACGGUACCCUGAAAACAAGCCACGGCUAACUACGUGCCAGCAGCCGCGGUAAUACGUAGGUGGCAAGCGUUGUCCGGAUUUAAUGGGUGUAAAGGGCGUGUAGCCGGGAAGGCAAGUCAGAUGUGAAAUCUGGAGGCUCAACCUCCAAAUUGCAUUUGAAACUGUUGUUCUUGAGUACUGGAGAGGCAGACGGAAUUCCUUGUGUAGCGGUGAAAUGCGUAGAUAUAAGGAGGAACACCAGUGGCGAAGGCGGUCUGCUGGACAGCAACUGACGGUGAGGCGCGAAAGCGUGGGGAGCAAACAGGAUUAGAUACCCUUGUAGUC